rnacentral:rRNA from 2 species
UGGGGAAUUUUGGACAAUGGGCGAAAGCCUGAUCCAGCAAUGCCGCGUGUGUGAAGAAGGCCUUCGGGUUGUAAAGCACUUUUGUCCGGAAAGAAAUGGCUCUGGUUAAUACCUGGGGUCGAUGACGGUACCGGAAGAAUAAGGACCGGCUAACUACGUGCCAGCAGCCGCGGUAAUACGUAGGGUCCAAGCGUUAAUCGGAAUUACUGGGCGUAAAGCGUGCGCAGGCGGUUGUGCAAGACCGAUGUGAAAUCCCCGAGCUUAACUUGGGAAUUGCAUUGGUGACUGCACGGCUAGGGUGUGUCAGAGGGGGGUAGAAUUCCACGUGUAGCAGUGAAAUGCGUAGAGAUGUGGAGGAAUACCGAUGGCGAAGGCAGCCCCCUGGGAUAACACUGACGCUCAUGCACGAAAGCGUGGGGAGCAAACAGG